AUGCGUGCGUGCGUGCGUGCGUGCGUGCGUGCGUGUGUGCGUGCGUGCGUGCGUGCGUGCGUGUGUGUGUGUGUGUGUGUGUGUGUGUGUGUGUGUGUGUGUGUGUGUGUGUGUGUUAAAGAGCCACUUGCAGGUUCUGGGUUGUCUGUGGGUCCAGAGAGUGGGUCUGUCUUCGCCCUACGACUCUUUACAGACUGCUAUAGCGAGUACGCUGUAGUUCCUUUGAUCCUGCGGACGGUGGACAUCAAAGACUCCAAGACACUGAACUAACCUAGGCUGAUUCCAUUUGAAAGCACCCGGCCUGUUGAUGACCUGGAAUCGCCAUCCCAUGAUACCAUCAUCACCACGGUUACGUCGGUACAAAGCAGAGGACUGGAAGACAGAUAGGUGUCAGGGAUCUCCGUAUCCCCGGUGACGGUAAACAGAUCCAUCAAGUGUGACUUACACUCAGGUGAAAUUGGAGCUUCACAGAGAAAGGCAGAGCAAAAGCUAUACACAGGCCUACACACAAACACAAGCUACAAACACACACACAAACACACACGCUUGGCAAAGAUGGCAACCAAUGUCGAGGAAUCAAAACCCAUCAAUUUUGUGAGUCAAGAUGAAAUCUGGUGAGUUUACUAUUUUAUUAUGGUGUUGUUAUCUUUUUAAUGCUGUGUGAUGUAUGAAUUGUAAUGGUUAUUUAUAAGAAAUGUAGAUCAUUCAUUUGCAAUGUAAGAUGCCCUUGUUCUAGUUUUAACACACACAUUCAUUGGUUUUAUGCUUUUGUAAUAUUGGUAUUAGUAUCAUUAUAACUUUUGGUAAAUAUUCAAAGACUGCUGAGGAAAAGUAUUGAGGACAGCUGGCUAACAAAUCCACACAAAUACAUUAGAGGCGGAACAACAUUAAACAAAAUAUUCAAAGCUUGUGUUUAAGAGAGGCACUUUAAUUGCAAGAAUAGGGCUUGCUCCUUAAUAUGUAGAUGUCUCUCAGGGAUAGGAGUGAAUUAAAGUGAGUUAUCUAUGUGUCGAAGCUCUAACUAUGCGUUGUUUGUCAUUUACCUCAAAACUGAAACAUUAUUGUUGUUUAUGUGUGGGUAUGUUUUUGUGUGGGUGUGUCUGUGGGUGCGGGUGUGUGUGUGUGUAGGAAGACACGUCUUAAGGUCGAGAAAGAGUCAUCCAAAAUCUGGCCUCAUAAGUGGGGCUUUCUCUCAGAAGUCUAUAUAGAGGUAUCUACACAAACAAACACACACACACACACACACACACACACACACACACACACACACACACACACACACACACACACACACACACACACACACAUACACACACACACGCACACACACACACACACACACAGUGCGGAGUGCAUUUAUUGCCACUAUUACUUAAAUACCACUCGCAUUUCAAAAAGCAAGAAUUAUCUAUACACUUAUCUAUGAACAGCAAACUAAAUUCAAAUCAGUGAACAAUAUUUAUGCUUUGGAGAUUUUUUUUAAUUAUACAUUUUUUAAUAUUCUGC
rnacentral:lncRNA from 1 species